rnacentral:rRNA from 1 species
UGGGAAGUUUUGGAUCAAUGGGCGAAAGCCUGAAUCCAGCAAUGCCGCGUGCAGGAUGAAGGCCUUCGGGUUGUAAACUGCUUUUGUACGGAACGAAAAGCUUCGGGUUAAUACCCUGGAGUCAUGACGGUACCGUAAGAAUAAGCACCGGCUAACUACGUGCCAGCAGCCGCGGUAAUACGUAGGGUGCAAGCGUUAAUCGGAAUUACUGGGCGUAAAGCGUGCGCAGGCGGUCUUGUAAGACAGAGGUGAAAUCCCCGG